UACGAAGGGUGCAAGCGUUACUCGGAAUUACUGGGCGUAAAGCGUGCGUAGGUGGUGAGUUAAGUCUGUCGUGAAAGCCCCGGGCUCAACCUGGGAAUGGCGAUGGAUACUGGCUCGCUAGAGUGCGGUAGAGGAGAGUGGAAUUCCCGGUGUAGCAGUGAAAUGCGUAGAGAUCGGGAGGAACAUCAGUUGCGAAGGCGGCUCUCGUGGGACGGUACUGACGCUGAGACGCGAAAGCUAGGGGAGCAAACAGG
rnacentral:rRNA from 1 species